GUCAAAGGCAGCAAACAGACUGAAUGAAAGAUGAGCUUCUGCCUUUAUAUCCUUCUCUCCUGCUACCCAACUCACUGUGGUGAAGGAAAAAGAAAACGCGGGUGGAGACUGCACUAUAUGCUUAGGACUGAAAUGCAACUGCAGAAGCAACAUGCGACCUUUUAAAGAUGCUUGUGGGACUGCAUAAAGUGAAGAGGGAAACUGGAAAAAACAAUGAAGUAAGGAAAAACAUUUAUCACCAUCCAGCCACUGUAGAUAAAUUUGAUUGGCUGUCUCCCUGCCUUCCCUUCACACCCAGUACCUUCCCUGCCUGAACUCCUCAUUGAGGGCAAGAACUUUAUCCCCAGGAUCUAAACCAGUGCUGCACAAUAGAUGCUCAGCUAAUCACGAACUCCUGGCCUCAAAUGAUCUUCCUACCUUGGCUUCCCAAAGUGCUGUGAUUACAGACGUGAGCUGCUGUGCCUGGCCAAGACUUAAUUUUGAAUGACAUUGGGACCAUUGCCAAAAAUCAAAUCCAUCUU
rnacentral:sRNA from 1 species